ACAGGUCAGAAACAGACAGGUCAGAAACAGACAGGUCAGAGACAGACAGGUCAGAGACAGGUCAGAGACAGACAGGUCAGAGACAGACAGGUCAGAAACAGACAGGUCAGAGAGACAGACAGGUCAGAGACAGACAGGUCAGAGACAGACAGGUCAGAGACAGGUCAGAGAGACAGACAGGUCAGAGAGACAGACAGGUCAGAGAGACAGACAGGUCAGAGACAGGUCAGAGACAGACAGGUCAGAGACAGACAGGUCAGAGACAGACAGGUCAGAGAGACAGACAGGUCAGAGACAGACAGGUCAGAGACAGACAGAGAGGUCAGAGACAGGUCAGAGAGACAGACAGGUCAGAGAGACAGACAGGUCAGAGACAGACAGGUCAGAGAGACAGACAGGUCAGAGACAGACAGGUCAGAGAGACA